UGAAUGUAUGUAAUAUCCUAUCAGAGGAUGGAAAAUCUGACCAAAAUGAUCAAAUUUAUUUAUCUUAUGAUUAUCAUUCUUUCUCUAUUUCUUGUCACAACGAGCAACAGCAGUAAGCUAUUUUUACUUUCAAAUUUUCUUCCUUACAUCGUAAAUAAUAAUUUUAUUCUAUUUCAUAUUUUAUCAAAUUUUUGCAAUAUUUAUAUUUAUUUCUUUUUUUAUAGCAGAGGGUGAUGAUUGUUUUUCAAGUUCUGAUUGUGAAUGCGACACUCCUUUGAUACCUUUCUGUAUUUUUAAAGUAUGUUUGUGUUUAAAAAAGGAUAUAAUUAUGAUAUGAUUAUCAGAUCCUAGAGAGUAGAAAAAGCCCAACUGUAAUAUUAAAUAAGUUGUCUUUAGUUAUGGUAUUUCUAUCUUAUAAUUUGUUUUUCAUAUAGUUUGUAAUCUAAAUUGAUGUUAAAUAAAAUAAAAUAAGUUAUCAGUUUUUCUUAAAACCUUGUUGUUUAUUAGAUUAUUUAUGGUGAAAAAUGUUUUUGUUACUUUAAGCCUAAAA
rnacentral:lncRNA from 1 species